GAUGAACGCUAGCUACAGGCUUAACACAUGCAAGUCGAGGGGCAUCAGGAAGAAAGCUUGCUUUCUUUGCUGGCGACCGGCGCACGGGUGAGUAACACGUAUCCAACCUGCCCUUUACUCGGGGAUACGUCCUUUACGAAAGAAAGUAUUAACUACCCGAUAGCAUAAUGAUUCCGCAUGGUUUCAUUAUUAAAGGAUUCCGGUAAAGGAUGGGGAUGCGUUCCAUUAGGUUGUUGGUGAGGUAACGGCCCACCAAGCCUUCGAUGGACAGGGGUUCUGAGAGGAAGGUCCCCCACAUUGGAACUGAGACACGGUCCAA
rnacentral:rRNA from 1 species